rnacentral:rRNA from 1 species
AUUGAACGCUGGCGGCAUGCCUUACACAUGCAAGUCGAACGGUAACGGGCCUUCGGGUGCCGACGAGUGGCGAACGGGUGCGUAAUACAUCGGAACGUGCCCGAUCGUUGUGGAUAACGAGGCGAAAGCUUUGCUAAUACCGCAUACGAUCUACGGAUGAAAGCAGGGGACCGCAAGGCCUUGCGCGGACGGAGCGGCCGCUGGCAGAUUAGGUAGUUGGUGGGAUAAAAGCUUACCAAGCCGACGAUCUGUAGCUGGUCUGAGAGGAUGAUCAGCCACACUGGGACUGAGACACGGCCCAGACUCCUACGGGAGGCAGCAGUGGGGAAUUUUGGACAAUGGGCGCAAGCCUGAUCCAGCCAUGCCGCGUGCAGGAUGAAGGCCUUCGGGUUGUAAACUGCUUUUGUAAGGAACGAAAAGCCUUCUUUUAAUACAGGAGGGUCAUGACGGUACCGUAAGAAUAAGCACCGGCUAACUACGUG